AUGGUAUUUGUGUUGAAGUUGGUCUGCAGAGUCCCCGGAGACUCGGUGACUGACAGACCUAGGUCUCACUUGGGCCCAUGUAACCAGGUGUGUCACAGGCAGGCUGGGGGCAGGAGAGCACUGGCCCCGGCACAGCUCAUCCGGGAGCGCGCGCCGGGAGCCUGUGCGCACGCGCGCUGUGGUGCGGCCAGGUGUGUUCACCUGAGUGCUGAAAAGGCGGAGGAAGACGCGGACAGCAGUCUUCUGCCAGGGGGUUACGUUGUAACCAUCCACGUCGUUUCCCCACGUCUGUGUCUUCCCCGCUACCACUCUGGAACGCAGCGAUGUUUCCCUCUUUCGUGCAGAAAGGCGUCCAGCUCGUUACCAAUCGGGGGAGGCACUUGGGUACGGCGGGCACGCAUGCAGCUCGGGUUUGACCAAACGGUCGUGCGCGGUCCGUGCAGGCGGCACGGAGCCGUGUCGUGCGUCCUCGCGGGGCAGCACAGCCGGUGCAAGGCUUCGAAGGCGGACUGCGGCUCAGGACCACGAGGGAUCUUCUCUGCCCCAGGGCGCUGGGGCCAGCUCCCCGUCCUUCCCGCCGCCGGACGGCCAAGCCCAGGUAACCUGUGGUCCUGCAAGAAUAUACGCACCAUUUGUACCGAUCUCGCCCCUUCCCCCCCUUGGCUUCUUUCGGCUCCCCCGGCCCCUCCCUUUUCUCCCGCAUCCCUGCAGGAUCCGCAGGGGAAGGCCCGGACGCGCCCCCCGGUUUGCAGGGCAACAGGGACGUCACGAAGCCGCCGCCAACAAUUGGUUGCCGGGUCUCUGGGGGCGGGGCAGAGGAGGCGGGGCCCGGCGCAGGUGCAGCGGCGCGCUGGUCUCCCCGUUGCGGUCGGGCCGGCAGGUAGUGCACCGGCCCGGCCGCACCCAGAUGCCCAGGGCCCGCUGGUCCCCACGUGCCUCCCCGACGCUGGGCAAACGCGCUGCUGGGCGUCUGGAACGGGGCACCUGUCGUUCUGCCCGUCACCUCGCUGCCUGGCCAUCACAGGCUUUCCCAGCAGAGGAACCUGG
rnacentral:lncRNA from 1 species